rnacentral:rRNA from 1 species
UACGUAGGGUGCGAGCGUUAAUCGGAAUUACUGGGCGUAAAGCGUGCGCAGGCGGUUCUCCAAGUCCGUUGUGAAAUCCCCGGGCUCAACCUGGGAAUUGCAUCUGUGACUGCAUAGCUAGAGUACGGUAGAGGGGGAUGGAAUUCCGCGUGUAGCAGUGAAAUGCGUAGAUAUGCGGAGGAACACCGAUGGCGAAGGCAAUCCCCUGGACCUGUACUGACGCUCAUGCACGAAAGCGUGGGGAGCAAACAGG